rnacentral:lncRNA from 1 species
UCGGAAUAGACGCAUCAGGCCACUUCGGGAUGAGGGUGAUCAGUAUCUUCUUUCACUCCUCUGAAAGGCCUCUGGACUCGAAAACCAACAGCACUGCCUCCACCACCUUCUCUUCAACAAUAGGCCAAUACUGACGGAAGAAAAGGAGGAAAAUCUAUUUGGCCCCAGAGCUUUAUCCUUUAUAAGAGACCAAAGGGCCCCGCGCACCUUCUCGACAUACACGGGAGGACUCAGAGCCUCAUUCUCUUGAUCAGAGACACAAGUCACAGGAUAGGCCCCAUGAAAGGGAGUGUCCCCAUCCAAAGGUACCAUCUAAUGAGACCUGAAGAACUAGAGGAUCUGCUCCCCAAUCUCCUUACUGUCAUCUAUAACUCUGCCAUCACUCUCCCUCAGCUACCUAAUGCAAUGGACAGACCUUUGGAUCAUAGUGAAUUGGUGAAAGAACCUGAUAUUCCGAUCGCCUUCUCUGAUCUACCGAAUCCAAGACUUCUACCUCCAUAGCAUCUGUCUCAGCAAGGAAUGGUGAUGCAUUGAAAGCUUGUGACGAAGCUCCCUCAAGUCAGGCUCUUAGAGGCCGCUCUCCUGAUCCUUCUUUAAUUGCAGCUCCAGAAUGUCCGCCUCCACCCCCUCGAUCCGUCUGAAAAUGUCACUAACCUCAAGCCAAUUCCAUCAAAAGAGUCUAUGCUUGGCUAGAUUCAGUCUUUGGAUCAUCCAAUAUCUCGCAUCCCCACAAACUGGUAGCCUCCAUUCCUCUUAAAUAAGAUCCCAUGCUCUCGAGUAGAAGGUCCAAAACUUCUCGAACCUAAAUGGGCCCCUGGACAAGCACAGACCGUCAAUAAUAA